GGGGCUGGUUCUGGACUCCAAGAGCCCCUACAACUCGGGGAGUUGGAUAUCACCUCUGAUGAAUUCAUCUUGGAUGAAGUGGAUGGUAAGUGGUGACAUGGGGUGGGGGCAAAGUAGACCCUUUUGUUCUUUAGGAAUAGAUUACAUGACCCCCCAGUAGAUGGCCCUCUAUGGUCUUCUUCUUAAUGGACGUACAAAGUUUAAUCUAUGAGUUGAGAAGGUUUAACCUCUAAUUUCAGCUCAGUAAGAAUUGAUAGCAAUACACUGUAAUGAAUUUGCUGCAUCCCUUUUUGCUAUUUGGGAUGAUUAUUAAGUAAAAAAUAAAGCCCGUUUGAACAUAAGUGUGCAGCCAGCUAAGACCGAGCGAUCGAGAGGUAGGCACAGCACUUGUCAUAGAUCAACAGAGCAAAGGUGUUUCACAUCCAAGGCCAAGUGAGAGGUAACCUCCUUUGGAAAUUCCCACGUAAUCCUUUUGAUCUGUGGUUGAGUAGAUGAAGAGGAGCUGAAACAGAAGAAAGUCCCACCAGGCAAAGCAACUGUGCCUAUAACUGUCCUGGAGGAAAGGGGAGAUUGGCGUUGUGUGCAGGAGCCCAGUGUGGGCAGAGGGAGGUGUGGCAAGGGGACCCCUUAAUGAUAAACUUGUCUCCAGUUCACAUCCAGGCAAAUCUGGAAGACGAGUUAGUGAAGGAAGCUCUCAAAACGGUGAGGAUCCCCACUCCGCUGAUCCCCACCUUCCCUGACUCUUGCUGUCGCCUCACCUUGGUGGCUCCCCUCCAGCCAGUCACCGAGUCUGUUCUGGGGUCCUCCCACUGUGACUUCUUCCUGACUUUGUCAUUUCCCCCAGGGUGUGGAUCUUCGACACUAUUCAAAGCAGGUGGAGCUAGAGCUGCAGCAGAUUGAGCAGAAGUCAAUCCGGGACUGUAUCCUCCAGCAGAGGAAACAGAUGGGUGUUACCGGCAUGGGGAUGUGUGAUGCAGGUAGCCUCCACAGGGGAGGGCGUCUCUCUCAGGUUUCGGUCACCUUGGGGAGAACCUGGGGGCAGGUACUGCAGACCCACAGAGCUAUGCGUUCAGUGUGAAGCCCUUGACUUUUGUGGGUCAGACAUCCAAGAGAGUGAAAACAUAGCCUCUCUGCACAAUCAGAUCACAGCCUGUGAUGCCGUCCUAGAGGUUGGUG
rnacentral:lncRNA from 1 species